rnacentral:rRNA from 1 species
UGACGGGGGCCCGCACAAGCGGUGGAGCAUGUGGUUCAAUUCGACGCAACGCGAAGAACCUUACCGGGGUUUGAACUGUACGGGACAGCCCAAGAGAUUGGGUCUUCCUUCGGGACCCGUAUAGAGGUGCUGCAUGGCUGUCGUCAGCUCGUGUCGUGAGAUGUUGGGUUAAGUCCCGCAACGAGCGCAACCCUUGCCUCCUGUUGCUAACGAGUAAAGUCGAGCACUCUGGAGAGACUGCCGGUGAUAAACCGGAGGAAGGUGGGGAUGACGUCAAGUCCUCAUGGCCUUUAUGCCCCGGGCUACACACGUGCUACAAUGGCUGGUACAAAGGGUUGCAAAACCGCGAGGUGGAGCUAAUCCCAAAAAGCCAGUCCCAGUUCGGAUUGCAGUCUGCAACUCGACUGCAUGAAGUUGGAAUCGCUAGUUAAUCGCGGAUCAGCACGCCGCGGUGAAUACUUCCCCGGGCCUUGUACACACCGCCCGUCACAUCACGAAAGCCGCUGUUCUAAAA